UACAUGGGGUGCAAACGUUGCUCGGAAUCAUUGGGCGUAAGCGCGCGUAGGCGGUUGCUUAAGUCGGAUGUGAAAGCCCUCGGCUUAACUGAGGAAGUGCAUCCGAAACUGAGCAGCUAGAGUACGAAAGAGGGUCGCGGAAUUCCCGGUGUAGAGGUGAAAUUCGUAGAUAUCGGGAGGAACACCGGUGGCGAAGGCGGCGACCUGGGUCGAGACUGACGCUGAGGCGCGAAAGCGUGGGGAGCAAACAGG
rnacentral:rRNA from 1 species